GCUCGACGGAUCGCCGAACCGACUUCGCCAACGCGUUCGUUUACCUAGCAAUUAGGUUUACGGAGGGUCAAAUAAGAUCAAACUCUACUAUUUUACAAAACCCCAUUCGGAGCCCUAAUAUGCAAUUAACCUCCAAAUAAUCCAAAUUAAAUGGAGCAACAUGCUAACAAUGCUCAUUAGAGGCUAUUAGAACACUUAAAGCUAAGGAUUAAGCCAAAUCCCAAAAGCUUACCACAAUGUGAACGCCACGACGAAAACACGCCGCUCCAACGGGCGCACGAAAGCUCGAUCCGUCGCCUCCAACGCGUUCGCAAGCAUCUUCUCCGCCAACGCCGCGAAUUUGAGCGAGAGAUUUAGAGAGAUGAGAGAGAUCUUUAGAGAAAGAAAGGAGCGUUUCUCUCCCCCUUCUCCAUGCGUGCGUGUGAUGCUUAGGCUGCACGGUUUGAGGGAGGAAGAAGCAACAGGCUUCUUUAUACAUUAACACCCAAAACACUAUUCACUCCGGGCAGUUCGAAAUCUGAUAUCUUUCGCCGGAGCUCCCUGAACAUCCGUUUGAGCUCAAAUUUGACAGUCAUGUUUGGUUUUACUUAACGAGUCCAAAAAAAUUUUAAUAUCUCAGUUUCGACCCCGUUUGGUCACCGAAAACUGUACCGAACUGUAAUCUUUAUCAGAUAGCUGUCAGAUUUUAUUUUCUACCUUCCGGGUGUCAGAAUGAUAUAAAACUUUAAAUCUAGCCUCAUAAAAAUAAUUCUGACUUAUCCUCCAGUUUUCAUAAUUUUCUGACACUGUGCAUUUUCUGCUAAUUUAUCUGUCCCGUUUCCAACAGAAAAUUCUAAAUCUUCUGUUUUCAUUCCGAUUUCAGCACAAGUCAUUUUUGACUUAUAUUUUACUUCUCUAAAUCCAAUAAAAAUAGUAUCUCACACUAUUUUUUAUUUAUUUUUAUUUUUAUACCAAAAUCUGGCAUGUUAUACCUUCCCUGCCCGCCCAAGGCUCUAGCAACAAGUAUAAUUAAGUAAUCAAUCAA
rnacentral:lncRNA from 1 species